GAGCAGAGAGCAGGGCUGUAACA
rnacentral:piRNA from 1 species